CUACGGGAGGCACCAGUGGGGAAUAUUGCACAAUGGACGAAAGUCUGAUGCAGCAACGCCGCGUGGAGGAUGACACAUUUCGGUGCGUAAACUCCUUUUAUAUAGGAAGAUAAUGACGGUACUAUAUGAAUAAGCACCGGCUAACUCCGUGCCAGCAGCCGCGGUAAUACGGAGGGUGCAAGCGUUACUCGGAAUCACUGGGCGUAAAGAGCGUGUAGGCGGGUUAAUAAGUUGGAAGUGAAAUCCUAUGGCUCAACCAUAGAACUGCUUCCAAAACUGUUAACCUAGAAUAUGGGAGAGGUAGAUGGAAUUUCUGGUGUAGGGGUAAGAUCCGUAGAGAUCAGAAGGAAUACCGAUUGCGAAGGCGAUCUACUGGAACAUUAUUGACGCUGAGACGCGAAAGCGUGGGGAGCAAACAGGAUUAGAUACCCGUGUAGUC
rnacentral:rRNA from 1 species